GACGAACGCUGGCGGCGUGCUUAACACAUGCAAGUCGAACGGAAAGGCCCUGCUUUUGUGGGGUGCUCGAGUGGCGAACGGGUGAGUAACACGUGAGUAACCUGCCCUUGACUUUGGGAUAACUUCAGGAAACUGGGGCUAAUACCGGAUAGGAGCUCCUGCUGCAUGGGGGGGUUUGGAAAGUUACGGCGGUUGGGGAUGGACUCGCGGCUUAUCAGCUUGUUGGUGGGGUAGUGGCUUACCAAGGCUUUGACGGGUAGCCGGCCUGAGAGGGUGACCGGCCACAUUGGGACUGAGAUACGGCCCAGACUCCUACGGGAGGCAGCAGUGGGGAAUAUUGCACAAUGGGCGGAAGCCUGAUGCAGCAACGCCGCGUGCGGGACGACGGCCUUCGGGUUGUAAACCGCUUUCGCCUGUGACGAAGCGUGAGUGACGGUAAUGGGUAAAGAAGCACCGGCUAACUACGUG
rnacentral:rRNA from 1 species